rnacentral:lncRNA from 10 species
GUUUUGUUUCCUUUAAGUAAUUUAUCCAAGGACACUCAGCAGGUCUUUGUGCGAGCUCAGAUUUCAGCCAAGGCUGUCUUGCCCCACACUUGAGGAGCCCCAUUUUGCCCAGUGGUUGAGGUUAACAGCAUUCUCCUUCCUCCUCGUGCUCUGCUGAGCAAAACUCACGACCUGGCCAAAUGCCGUGCUCAGGUUCAGCCAGAAGCAGUGCCCCGGGUGACUGCAGACCCUCCAGAACUUGAGGAUCCCACCCUCUGACCCAACACCCACCCCUGAAACUGAUACUGUGUGCCUCACACAGAAGGCCAAGGCCCCCAGGACGACGAGACUGCCCUCCGAGCGGCCUGAGCCCAGAGACAGCAGCCUCCAUCGGACCCAAGGCCUCCGACCGCCCUGACGAACCUCAGCGGCAGCGCAGACGUCAGAGAGGUUUCUUUCGCAGGCAGCGAGGGGAAACUUGCAACGCAGAGAUACCAAGCCGCUUGACCUCCACUGUAACGGCCUCAAGUCUCCCCAUCGUCUGGGGGCUCUGCUGCUAAUUGGGUCGUAAAAGAUGAUCCUACUGCAUAGCUGUCUGCAAAGCGGGGCCCCCGUGACACAGGAUCAAUGAAAUGCAUAGCUGUCUGCAAAGCGGGGCCCCCGUGACACAGGAUCAAUGAAAUGCAGACCACAGGGUGGGCUUACCUGCUGACACUCUGGGCAGAGCCAGGACUGCAGAAGUCAGAGGGUGACUGGAUGCUCAGGAUGGGAGAGGCAAAGACUGGGGGAUGAAUCAUCCCUCCCUGGAGGCCUCCUCAUGCCUCUGACCCCCCAGGCUUCUGUUAAAGCGGCCAAAGCCCUCCUCACGCACUCCAGUCAGAACAUGGCCCCCUGGGGCUGCUUCGCAAAGGCCCACAGUCCCGCGAGACCCCGUCCAGAAAGAAGCCCCACGUCUGAGUGGCUCCACCUGGCAGUUCAUUCAUUCAUUCACUCAUUCGAGCAUCACUCGUUUACCGAGUACCUCUGACAAUUCUGGCACUGAGCUGCACCCUAGGAGUGCAUGAAUGGUGUGGCCAGGACCGUGGCUUUCCGUCUUGUCUGCUGUCACCUCCACAUUAAUAAAGCCCCGUGUUUAGUCGGGGGUGUGGCCACCCAGGCAUGAAACUGCACUUCCUGCCUCCCUUGCAGCUAGCUGUGGCCAUGUGAUUGCACCCUGGUUAACAAAACUAUGCAGGGUGUGGGGGGCCCUUCCUUCAAAAACAAACAAAAGAAACACAGUGGGCCCAAGCCCCUGGGUCCUUUCCUCUCAGUGGUCCUCUCUCCUGCUGGCUGGAAUGCAGAUGGGAGGGCUGAAGCUGAAGUGGCCAGUCUUGAGAAGGUGCCUGGGGACAGAGGACCCACAUGGUAGAGCAACAGACAAAGAAGCCACUUCUCUGGACGGCUGGAGGGAAACGCAUCUCUCCACCCUGGCCUGCCUUCCUCUAGACUUUAGUGUGAAAGAGAAAAACACAAAAUCUACCUUCUUUAAGCUACUGUGACUUAGGGUUUUCCAGCUGAGGAUAAUUGAAACCUACACAGCAGGUCAUGGUGCCACAUCCUGGUGCAGGGCUGUUGGCAGCACAGAAAGCCCACUGGCCUGGUCUCAGGGGAUUGGAGAGGCGUCCCGAGGGGUCUGUGUCUUGGCUGUGCCCUGUCAGGUGUGUUGGCCAAGGGAAGACGGGUAGGGAGGCAUUUCAGGGCUGGAGGUGGGAAGAAGUUCAGUGUGUUUGGAGAAGCUCUGGACUCUUCAGGGUGGUGGGGACCCCUGCUUUGCAUCUAUAAAAUACACCAGGCCUUAAAAUAUGUGACCUGUGAUUCAAAGGGAGAGGCUACUGGCUGGAGUGCAGUGGCGCCAUCUCUGCUCACUGCAACCUCUGCCUCCCAGGUUCAAGUGAUUCUCCUGCCUCAGCCUGCCCAGUAGCUGGGAUUGCAGGCACCUGCCACCACACCUGGCUAAUUUUUGUAUUUUUAGUAGAAAUGGGGUUUCACCAUGUUGGCCAGGCUGGUCUCGAACCCCCGACCUCAAGUAUCCACCAGCCUCGGCCUCCCAAAGUGCUGGGAUUAUAGACGUGAGCCACCAUGCCUGGCCUAGACUUCUGACUUUAAAGACUAGUAAAAACCUGAUUCUAUGCUCUUUGAAAAUCUGCACCUGCAGAAAUUCAUCACUGUCAUUUUGGCCUCGGAGAGACGCUUCUCAGCUGGGUUCAGGGCUGGAUGACUUGUCCUGUCUUCCUGCCCCGGUGGUUGACAUCCUCAGCCAGAUGUUAAGCCCCCUCCUCUCCUUAGGUUCAGACUCUCCCCUUUCAAAAUGCCAGCAAGUCCCAAAAGAACAGAUGAAGGCGAGGGGCCAGGACAAGACCAUCCCAUGGCGGGCUGGGUGUUGGGCUGGAUGGCUGCCCCCAUCCAGUGACAUAGGGCAAGGAAGUCCUGGCCAGAUGCCAAAGGAGCACCAGCAACUCCAAAUUCUUAUCCUGUGCGUGGCUCUGGGGAAUCAUUUUAUCAGAUCAGCCUUCAUACAAAUAAAUGAAUCCAUUGCCUCAGAGGGUCCCAUUGUUGUCAAACGGAAUCAGCAUGCCUCUGUUUUUAUUUCUGUGUAAAUAACAUCUGCUUCCAGAAUUACUAGAAUUUGUAGUAAUAAGUGCACACAUAAAGAGCUUAAAUUUCUACA